UAGGGAAUCUUCCGCAAUGGGCGAAAGCCUGACGGAGCAACGCCGCGUGAGUGAAGAAGGUCUUCGGAUCGUAAAACUCUGUUAUUAGGGAAGAACAAAUGUGUAAGUAACUAUGCACGUCUUGACGGUACCUAAUCAGAAAGCCACGGCUAACUACGUGCCAGCAGCCGCGGUAAUACGUAGGUGGCAAGCGUUAUCCGGAAUUAUUGGGCGUAAAGCGAGCGUAGGCGGUUUUUUAAGUUUUAUGUGAAAGCCCCCNGNUCANCCGUGGAGGGUCAUUGGAAACUGGAAAACUUGAGUGCAGAAGAGGAAAGUGGAAUUCCAUGUGUAGCGGUGAAAUGCGCAGAGAUAUGGAGGAACACCAGUGGCGAAGGCGACUUUCUGGUCUGUAACUGACGCUGAUGUGCGAAAGCGUGGGGAUCAAACAGGAUUAGAUACCCUGGUAGUCCACGCCGUAAACGAUGAGUGCUAAGUGUUAGGGGGUUUCCGCCCCUUAGUGCUGCAGCUAACGCAUUAAGCACUCCGCCUGGGGAGUACGACCGCAAGGUUG
rnacentral:rRNA from 1 species